rnacentral:rRNA from 1 species
CRRWKKUACUGCUAKCGAGAUUCGAUCGYAAGCCAUGCGAGUUGAAUGUUCUUCGUGAACAUGGCGGACUGCUCAGUAACACGUGGACAACCUACCCUUGGGUCCGGCAUAAUCCUGGGAAACUGGGAAUAAUUCCGGAUAGGUCACCGAUGCUGGAAUGCGCGGUGGCCGAAAGCUCCGGCGCCCGAGGAUGGGUCUGCGGCCUAUCAGGGUUGUAGUGGGUGUAACGUACCUACUAGCCUACGACGGGUACGGGUUGUGAGAGCAAGAGCCCGGAGAUGGAUUCUGAGACACGAAUCCAGGCCCUACGGGGUGCAGCAGGCGCGAAAACUUUACAAUGCGGGAAACCGUGAUAAGGGGAUCUCGAGUGCCAGCAUAUAAUGUUGGCUGUCCAGAUGCCUAAAAAGCAUCUGUUAGCAAGGGCCGGGCAAGACCGGUGCCAGCCGCCGCGGUAACACCGGCGGCCCGAGUGGUAACCGCUAUUAUUGGGUCUAAAGGGUCUGUAGCCGGCCAGGUAAGUCCCUUGGGAAAUCUGGCAGCUCAACUGUCAGGCUGCUAGGGGAUACUGUUUGGCUUGGGACCGGGAGAGGUGAGAGGUACCUUGGGGGUAGGGGUGAAAUCUUGUGAUCCUCGAGGGACCACCAGUGGCGAAGGCGUCUCACCAGAACGGGUCCGACGGUAAGGGACGAAAGCUAGGGGCACGAACCGGAUUAGAUACCCGGGUAGUCCUAGCCGUAAACGAUGCUCGCUAGGUGUCAGUCACGGUGCGACCGUGAUUGGUGCCGUAGGGAAGCCGUGAAGCGAGCCACCUGGGAAGUAUGGCCGCAAGGCUGAAMYUAAAGGAAUUGGCGGGGGAGCACUACAUCGGGYSRAGCCUGCGGUUUAUG